rnacentral:rRNA from 1 species
CACGUAAAAGCCAAGCGUUGUCCGGAUUUAUUGGGCGUAAAGAGCUCGUAGGUGGUUUGUCGCGUUGUUCGUGAAAACCGGGGGCUUAACCCUCGGCGUGCGGGCGAUACGGGCAGACUUGAGUACUGCAGGGGAGACUGGAAUUCCUGGUGUAGCGGUGGAAUGCGCAGAUAUCAGGAGGAACACCGGUGGCGAAGGCGGGUCUCUGGGCAGUAACUGACGCUGAGGAGCGAAAGCGUGGGGAGCGAACAGG